rnacentral:rRNA from 1 species
CAAGUCGAACGCGAAAGGGGCUUCGGCCCUGAGUAGAGUGGCGAACGGGUGAGUAACGCGUGGGUGACCUACCUUCGAGUGGGGGAUAACGUCCCGAAAGGGACGCUAAUACCGCAUGACAUCCUGCCCUUGAAUGGGUGGAGAUCAAAGCCGGGGAUCGCAAGACCUGGCGCUUGGAGAGGGGCCCGCGUCCGAUUAGCUAGUUGGUGGGGUAAUGGCUCACCAAGGCAACGAUCGGUAGCCGGCCUGAGAGGGCGGACGGCCACACUGGGACUGAGACACGGCCCAGACUCCUACGGGAGGCAGCAGUGGGGAAUUGUUCACAAUGGGCGCAAGCCUGAUGACGCAACGCCGCGUGGAGGAUGAAGGUCUUCGGAUUGUAAACUCCUGUUGCUCGGGAAGAAAAGCUCCGACCUAACACGUCGGAGUCUGACGGUACCGGGUGAGGAAGCCCCGGCUAACUCUGUGCCAGCAGCCGCGGUAAUACAGAGGGGGCAAGCGUUGUUCGGAAUUACUGGGCGUAAAGGGCGCGUAGGCGGCCUGUUAAGUCGAACGUGAAAUCCCCGGGCUCAACCCGGGAACUGCGUCCGAUACUGGCAGGCUUGAAUUCGGGAGAGGGAUGUGGAAUUCCAGGUGUAGCGGUGAAAUGCGUAGAUAUCUGGAGGAACACCGGUGGCGAAGGCGGCAUCCUGGACCGAUAUUGACGCUGAUGCGCGAAAGCCAGGGGAGCAAACGGGAUUAGAUACCCCGGUAGUCCUGGCCCUAAACGAUGAAUGCUUGGUGUGGCGGGUAUCGAUCCCCGCCGUGCCGAAGCUAACGCAUUAAGCAUUCCGCCUGGGGAGUACGGUC